rnacentral:misc_RNA from 1 species
UCCGUGUUAACCACGGCAGUCUCUUUAGAGAGCCCAACUUAAUGAUGGCAACUAAAGACAAGGGUUGCGCUCGUUGCGGGACUUAACCCAACAUGUCACCACACGAGCUGACGACAGCCAUGCAGCACCUGUCUCUCUGUCGUAUUGCUACGAAAACCGUAUUUCUACGGGUGUCAGAGGAUGUCAAACCUAGGUAAGGUUUUUCGCGUUGCUUCGAAUUGAACCACAUGAUCCACCGCUUGUGCGGGCCCCCGUCAAUUCCUUUGAGUUUUAAUCUUGCGACCGUACUUCCCAGGCGGGAUACUUAUCGCGUUGGCUACGAUUCGGCAGGGGUCAAAUCCCACCAAAUCUAGUAUCCAUCGUUUACAGCGUGGACUAC